rnacentral:rRNA from 1 species
UACGUAGGGUGCAAGCGUUGUCCGGAAUUAUUGGGCGUAAGAGCUCGUAGGCGGUCUGUCGCGUCUGCUGUGAAACUCAGGGCUUAACCCUGAGCUUGCAGUGGGUACGGGCAGACUAGAGUGCGGUAGGGGAGACUGGAAUUCCUGGUGUAGCGGUGAAAUGCGCAGAUAUCAGGAGGAACACCGGUGGCGAAGGCGGGUCUCUGGGCCGUAACUGACGCUGGAGGAGCGAAAGCAUGGGGAGCGAACAGG